UUUAGGUAGGAUCAUAAGUUUCCGCGUCCAACUUUGAUCGUCCGUUUUAUUUAAUUUUUUUUAUAAUUAGUAUUUUUAUUAUUAUGAGAUGAUAAAACAUGAAUAUUACUUAACUUAUGUUUUUAAUUUUUUUUAAAAAAAAUUAAAUAAGACGGAUGGUUCAAAAUUGUGCACGAAAAAUCAUGGCUGCACUUAAA
rfam:Oryza sativa (indica cultivar-group) chromosome 2, whole genome shotgun sequence.